GUGGUUCAGAAGUAAUAUUUAUAGGUCUGAGAUGUGGUUCAGAAGUAACAUUUAUAGGUCUGAGAUGUGGUUCAGAAGUAACAUUUAUAGGUCUGAGAUGUGGUUCAGAAGUAACAUUUAUAGGUCUGAGAUGUGGUUCAGAAGUAACAUUUAUAGGUCUGAGAUGUGGUUCAGAAGUAACAUUUAUAGGUCUGAGAUGUGGUUCAGAAGUAACAUUUAUAGGUCUGAGAUGUGGUUCAGAAGUAACAUUUAUAGGUCUGAGAUGUGGUUCAGAAGUAACAUUUAUAGGUCUGAGAUGUGGUUCAGAAGUAAUAUUUAUAGGUCUGAGAUGUGGUUCAGAAGUAAUAUUUAUAGGUCUGAGAUGUGGUUCAGAAGUAAUAUUUAUAGGUCUGAGAUGUGGUUCAGAAGUAAUAUUUAUAGGUCUGAGAUGUGG